CUGGAGAGAGGAAACACUGAAUGACCACUCAAAACCACUGUUUGCAUUGCAUUUAACACACUGUGCAUGACACUGUGGACUGGAGGAAACCGCACACGUUUGGUGCACUGUCAGCAGUAGCUAAGGAGAGGUGAAGAUUGGAAAGACUGCUUAAAAACGUUUUAGUCAGCUGAGGUCUUGAACUCUUGUGGAUUUUGGAAACCAAUGGAUGUGCCAAUCCCACAAAAGCAUCUACUGCUGUCCACUGAUGGAAGGAUGUUAUCCUGGGUCAAGAACAGCCACUCUACCCAUUUCAGAAACAGUUGCAUUCCAGCCCUGAAGAACCAUGGAGGGAGCGUUAUAUUCCUAGAAAAGCCAGCUGCUUGCAUUUCUCCACAGUCUUAUACCUUAAGAUCCAGACAUCCAGCAAAUGAAAGCUGUUACAAGUAAUUGAACUGAAAUGAAAGGAUCUCUUUGCAGAAGGAUUACCUACAAAACACUUCAUAAGAUUAGGGUCUGGCACUCACUUUGUAGAUAUUUUCAGCAGAAAAAAUGCAAAAGAAGAAAAAAAAAUAUAAAUAGUGCUUAUCUUAAUGUUAGAAAAACUGAGAAACAUUGAUAUGACAUAUAUUAUAUUUACUGAUAAACCAGUCAUCCUUGUAUAAAAAGUCACAAGGUGAAGUAUCAUCUUCCACAAUCAAUGACAGUACUCUUAAUGAAUUCAGAGGGUCCGGGACUUCGUCAGCCUCAUAGGCCUGUGUGAGCACAGGGGCUGAAUGGUGGCUGUGACUUUUACUUCUGAAUUUCUUCCCUUUCAGAAACUGCAUCCAUUGUAUACUAAUCUUUGUCCGAUGAACAUAUCGCUGCUAAUACACUUGUAAAAAAAAAGUCUGGUCUGUUUUGGAGACUAAAAUUAAAUUUUGUGAUUGGUUACUGUUUUGUGUUUUUUUUUCCAAUGGUGUGUUUAUAAUUCCAGUUCUUUUAAGCACCAUUAAUAUUUGAACUUCUAGAAGAAGAAAGCUUUUUAUCCUUUGUAGCAGACAUCCAAAC
rnacentral:lncRNA from 1 species